UCAGUGCCUAUCUCUGCCAAUCAUGGACUGACUUAAACUGCCCUGGGACUUUAGGGUCACUUAAACACCCAGCUUCCAAAGUUAUUUUUACAAGCAAAACAGCCGUGUAUCUCAUUUUAACAACUCCUGUCUGUUCUUUGUGAAGAAGAGUCAUUUGUGAACUUCCUAAUUGCUUGCACCAAAAACAGCAGCAGUGAUUUGUAAGACUGUCAUUAACAAAUGAUUGUUCUGGAUAAUCACUGCUCCAAUAUUAACUGCUUUAGAAGAAGCUGGGCCUUGACCUUCUUCAAGGCCUUGCUGCAGAGAAUGCCAUGCGAGAGACAUCGCUGUGAGCUUUUUGAAAAGAGCUUCAUCAAAUUCUCUUUUCUGGAAAGUUUGCCUGCUAUGGAGCCUAUAUUACUAUAUCCUCUGCCAUUCUACAUCACCGCUGAUGGCAUCCAGGAUGGGAAAAAGAAAGGUUUCUUUGAGUUACUUCUUCAUCUUCUCCAAUCAGAGGGCUGCCAACAGUUCCAUGGACUCCCAAAAUGAAUUAAGUCAACUAGCUAGGGAGUAAGCACAUAAACGUUAGUGCUUCCACAGCUUGAGUUUGAACAUUGGUUAGACUGGCUUGUGACUGUGGGUUUGGGCCUUCUCUGUGGUCUCCAUAACACUGAGCUGAUGGGCAGUGCUCUACAAGAAUGUUAAUGGCAGAGGAAGAUCUUGGGCGAGUAUAAGGAAAUAUAUUGCUACAAACAUUGUCUCUCUUGUAUUCUUAGACAUCAUGGCAAAAAACAAUGCUAUUGAAAUACGGCAAAUACAUUUUCAUCAUGCUCAUUCUGAUUUCCCAAAGAAAAGGCAGUAUGAAGGGUUAAUGGUAAGUGAAUCAGUAAUCUCCAAAUGGCAAUCCUUCAGCUAUCUAUAUACUGAUUUCUGAAAAAACAAUUUCGAAUUCAGCUUUCAUAUUCUUUUAUGCUGCAAAUUGUUGUUCUAUUGAGUUUAAAUAGCAGCUGGGACAAUUUGAUAAAAAUGCACAGAAAUAUUAGAAGAUUUAAUCCAAACAUUUACCAGAGCUGUGAAGCCUGUAAUUUUGCAGUACAGAAAAUAUGAAUGAUGCAAUGCCAUCAGGGAACUUGAAUACUAUAAGUUAACAGCUGCAACUUCAUAUAACUGUGCAUCACGCUGCAAUCAUAAACCCAAGCUAUGAGCACUCUUCCCAGUCUGAACACUCAAGAUCAAUUUGAAUAUAAAUGAUUCACCCAUAACUUGGAAGCAAAGCAAAGUGGAUGAAAUUAAUUAUUCACAAAUUGGUCUUGAAGAGGUGAAUACCAUAGGGUCAGAACUUCACAAACCAGUUAUGAAUACCGCAGCACAAUUCCCAUUAUCCUAGGAGUGUGUUUUGGGUGGUUUGUUGGGUCUGUGUAUUAAGAACCAGUUUUUAUAUUUUCUCUUCGCUAGCUAAUCUCAAAAAGACUCAAGGACAUUGUGCUGAAGUUUCAGUGGAAGUGAAUCAACAUCCUGCUCUUUUAAACCUUUUAAUAUAUUGCAGUACCUGCAGUCCCACUUUACUCCCCUUUACUCCCCUACUGCUCCUGAUCAUUCCUUUGUGCUUUUUUUGAACCAGAUUUAUCUUAGGUAUGUCCUAAAUUUAGCCAGGUGUCUCCAAAUUUGCAAAUGAGAAGCUUGAGGUAAAGCCAACUGACCUUAAUGGAAAUACCAGUAGUCAGCGUCUUUUAGUUCACAGUCCCUGUGAUUUUUUUGGACAAUGUAGAGGGAUAUUCAUUUUAAGUGCAUAUUUCAUACUUAGAGGUAGCUUUGGCCUAACUUACCUCUUUCAUUGCAAAUCUGUCUCAGCCCUCAGUCAUAGCUUGUAGACAUGACUAAAUCAAGCCAGUAGCUACCAUACAAAGCCAGCUGGAAUCUGUCUGCUUACCUAAAGACCUUGCAGAUUUUAAAUUGGAUAAUCCUCCUUCUCUUUGAACACUAUUAGGUGAGAUAAAUGUCUCAGUCUUGUGUCUGGACAUGGGCUGGAUAAAUGGCUAUCAUACAGAAAAGUCAUGAGUAGUAUUGCAACUGCUGAGGAAAAUUUCACAUAUGCUCUACCAUGUUGUGUUGUCAAGUCUCCGAAUCAGCAUGAAGAAAGGGCAUGUUGCUCACAAUGCUAGCACAUAUGAUUAAAGAUACAGUGAGAUAAGUAGCAAUCUCUCACAAAAGAUUUAAAAAUCACUUAUUUAGAAAACGGAUGCUUCCAAAUUACUGAGCAAGACAAACAGCUCACAGGGAAAACUUGAUCUUAUUACAAUCUGAACUACCAGCUACUCUACCACCAUAGCUCAGAAUAUUCAAAUGUUCUGGGAUAUCUUCCAAAAUCUGUGUCCCUAUCAAUCUUCAUAUGUUAGCUUUAAAAUGCUCUUUUCUUUCUUUUUUUCUUGUUUUAAAAGACAUUUUUCAUUCACUUUUAUUGCUUUUCUUAUGAAUCCUUAAGAGCUGUACAAUGUAUAAGACAUUAAAAUAUCCAUUUCCUGAACAAA